GUGGGGAAUCUUGCGCAAUGGGCGAAAGCCUGACGCAGCCAUGCCGCGUGAAUGAUGAAGGUCUUAGGAUUGUAAAAUUCUUUCACCGGGGACGAUAAUGACGGUACCCGGAGAAGAAGCUCCGGCUAACUUCGUGCCAGCAGCCGCGGUAAUACGAAGGGGGCUAGCGUUGCUCGGAAUUACUGGGCGUAAAGGGCGCGUAGGCGGACAGCUUAGUCAGAGGUGAAAGCCCAGGGCUCAACCUUGGAAUUGACUUUGAUACUGGCUGUCUUGAGUUUGGGAGAGGUGAGUGGAACUCCGAGUGUAGAGGUGAAAUUCGUAGAUAUUCGGAAGAACACCAGUGGCGAAGGCGACUCACUGGCCCAAUACUGACGCUGAGGCGCGAAAGCGUGGGGAGCAAACAGGAUUAGAAACCCGAGUAGUCC
rnacentral:rRNA from 1 species